UUCAAUUCUGCAACUACAUGGUUCAUAGUUGGCCUUUGAAUGGAAAUUGAUGGCACACAUGACAUUGCUAUCUCCACGAAUUUCCAUACAGAAUUGGUAUCAAAAUUUCCAUCUAGUCUUGGAUCAACCACAUUUCUUAUAUCCCCUCUUUCGAUAUAUGGGCUUACCCAAUUAACAAUAUGAAUGUUCUGAUCAUGGUUUUUGAUUACUGCAGAUUGGCCUGUGAUCAGCUCUAGAAGAACUAUUCCAAAGCUGUAAACAUCGCUUCUCUCAGUUAGCCUGCCGGAUGAGUAAUAUCUACAGAAACCAGCAAAAGAAAGUAGAAUCAAUUCCUUCACCUUCGGUAAGAAUUGAAGUUAUAGGCAUAUGCAGACUUGAGACUUACUCUGGAUCAAGGUAACCAACGGUGCCAACAACUCCGGUUGACAAAUGACUCUUACUGUCAGAUGGGAAAAUUUUUGAGAACCCAAAAUCAGCUAUCUUGGCCUGUAAAUUAUCGUUCAACAAAAUGUUGGCGCUUUUCACAUCUCUGUGAACUAUGGGUGGCUUGCAUCCAUUGUGCAAGUACUCUAGCCCUGCACAAUCGUUUUGUUAUUAGAUUAACCAACAUGAACAGAUGUGGUUAUGAGAAGUUUGAUUCUUUUUAGUUUCUUGACCUUGUGCUGCCUCCAAUGCAAUCUGCACCCUCUCUUUCCAACUCAGGACCUGCACUGCUUUAUCUGCAGGCAUAAUAUGAAUUAGUAUAAAAAACUCUGUUGUUUCUUUUUAUUUGCUUAGAGAUCGAAGGCUGAUUUGGGUAAAUAUGCAGGAAUUUGGAAAUGGGUUGAAGAGAUA
rnacentral:lncRNA from 1 species